UGCGCAGGCGGUGGCUCAAGCCAGGCGUGAAAUCCCCGGGCUUAACCUGGGAAUGGCGUUUGGGACUGGGUCGCUAGAGUGUGGCAGAGGGAGGUGGAAUUCCACGUGUAGCAGUGAAAUGCGUAGAGAUGUGGAGGAACACCGAUGGCGAAGGCAGCCUCCUGGGCCAGCACUGACGCUCAUGCACGAAAGCUGGGAGCAAACA
rnacentral:rRNA from 1 species